UACGUAGGGGGCGAACGUUGUCCGGAAUCAUUGGGCGUAAAGCGCGUGUAGGCGGCCCGGUAAGUCCGCUGUGAAAGUCCAGGGCUCAACCCUGGGAUGCCGGUGGAUACUGUCGGGCUCGAGUCCGGAAGAGGCGAGUGGAAUUCCUGGUGUAGCGGUGAAAUGCGCAGAUAUCAGGAAGAACACCUAUGGCGAAGGCAGCUCUCUGGGACGGUACUGACGCUGAGACGCGAAAGCGUGGGGAGCGAACAGG
rnacentral:rRNA from 1 species